ncrna:unclassified sequences GA-cis RNA
GUGAGGAGGGGCUGCAUGAACGAAGUUCAUAUUUAAUCAGCCCCGACGACCUGCCGUCUGGCGAAGGCGAGGGGGCGACACUAGAG